rnacentral:tRNA from 1 species
GGUGGCUCAGUGGUAAAGCACUUGCCUUGCAUGCAUGAGGCCCGGGGUUCGAUUCCUCAGCACCA